rnacentral:rRNA from 1 species
AGUGAACGCUGGCGGUAGGCCUAACACAUGCGAGUCGAACGGCAGCACAGGAGAGCUUGCUCUCUGGGUGGCGAGUGGCGGACGGGUGAGGAAUACAUCGGAAUCUACUUUUUCGUGGGGGAUAACGUAGGGAAACUUACGCUAAUACCGCAUACGACCUACGGGUGAAAGCAGGGGACCUUCGGGCCUUGCGCGAUUGAAUGAGCCGAUGUCGGAUUAGCUAGUUGGCGGGGUAAAGGCCCACCAAGGCGACGAUCCGUAGCUGGUCUGAGGGCAUGAUCAGCCACACUGGAACUGAGACACGGUCCAGACUCCUACGGGAGGCAGCAGUGGGGAAUAUUGGACAAUGGGCGAAAGCCUGAUCCAGCCAUACCGCGUGGGUGAAGAAGGCCUUCGGGUUGUAAAGCCCUUUUGUUGGGAAAGAAAUCCAGCUGGCUAAUACCCGGUUGGGAUGACGGUACCCAAAGAAUAAGCACCGGCUAACUUCGUGCCAGCAGCCGCCGCCG